rnacentral:rRNA from 1 species
GACAGAGGGGGCAAGCGUUGCUCGGAAUCACUGGGCGUAAAGGGCGCGUAGGCGGGAUGGCAAGUCGGUCGUGAAAUCCUUCGGCUCAACCGAAGAACGUCGGCCGAUACUGCCGUUCUUGAGGGAUGCAGAGGAGAUUGGAAUUCCCGGUGUAGCGGUGAAAUGCGUAGAGAUCGGGAAGAACAUCGGUGGCGAAAGCGCUCUACUGGGCCAUAACUGACACUCAGGGACGAAAGCUAGGGGAGCGAAUGGG